rnacentral:tRNA from 1 species
UGAAGGCUAGUGUUUCCACGAAUGAAUUUGGAUCAUUAAAUGGAGUUAACAAAACUCCGCCUUCAU